rfam:Nematostella vectensis strain CH2 x CH6 NEMVEscaffold_4203_Cont47284, whole genome shotgun sequence.
UAUCUGAUUGAUCCUGCCAGUAGUCAUAUGCUUGUCUCAAAGAUUAAGCCAUGCAUGUCAAAGUAUAAGCACUUGUACUGUGAAACUGCGAAUGGCUCAUUAAAUCAGUUAUCGUUUAUUUGAUUGUACCUUUACUACUUGGAUAACCGUGGUAAUUUUAGAGCUAAUACAUAAUAAUAAUAAUAAUAAUAAUAAUAAUAAUAAUAAUAAUAAUAAUAAUCUUUAUUGCCUUAGAUAAAUCAACAUGUCUAAGUUUACAAAAUGUAGGAGAAACCGAUUAUAAGUAAAUGCGCUACAUCAAUUAUAUGUCACUAUAUUUAAAGACAAGCCUAUUGACAAAAGUAUUUUUGAAUCGCUCUGAGUGAACCCUAGGAUAAAUCACAUUUCUUUUUCUGAGGUUGUAUUUUUGGUCUUUUUUCUUAGGCAGGAUUUUGCUCAGAGGAUAUUCAGGUUGAUCUAAGCGAGUACGAUAAAUCUUCUUAUCUGCCUCCUCUAGAAGUUUACGGAUGUUUACAAUGUUUGAAAUGUAUUUCCUUUUAAAGCAUCUCUCUAGGAAGUUCUGUAUGUUUGUGAGAUCCGAGUCUGAGGCACCAAAAACGGACAAGCCAUAAGUGAAAUUAGGAAGGACAAUAGACUUAAAGAGGUGAUCGAGUUCUUCUUGACAAAUUACUUCCUUUCUUAAAGAUCUUAAAAUGUAAAGACACUUAUUUGCCUUUGUUAACUUGGAACGCACAUGUUCACUGUAUUUGCCGUUAGACUGAAAGGUAAUCCCUAGAAUCGGUAAUACCGUACAUUGCGGAAUGUUGUUCACUAACUCGAUAUUCUGAUUACACCCUUUCUUGCGGAAAGUGAAAAGUCCCGACUUCUGGAAGGGAUGUAUUUAUUAGAUUCAAAACCAAUGCGGGUUCUGCCCGGUCAUUUGGUGAUUCAUAGUAACUGUUUGAAUCGCAGGGCCUGGCUCCGGCGAUGUUUCAUUCAAAUUUCUGCCCUAUCAACUGUCGAUGGUAAGGUGUUGGCUUACCAUGGUUACAACGGGUGACGGAGAAUUAGGGUUCGAUUCCGGAGAGGGAGCCUGAGAAACGGCUACCACAUCCAAGGAAGGCAGCAGGCGCGCAAAUUACCCAAUCCUGACUCAGGGAGGUAGUGACAAGAAAUAACAAUACAGGGCUUUUCUAAGUCUUGUAAUUGGAAUGAGUACAACUUAAAUCCUUUAACGAUGAUCCAUUGCAGGGCAAGUCUGGUGCCAGCAGCCGCGGUAAUUCCAGCUCCAAUAGCGUAUAUUAAAGUUGUUGCAGUUAAAAAGCUCGUAGUUGGAUUUCGGGACGGCACGGUCGGUCCGCCGCAAGGUGUGUCACUGGCCGGGCUGUUCUUCCUCGCAAAGACUGCGUGUGCUCUUAGCUGAGUGUGCGCAGGACUUGCGACGUUUACUUUGAAAAAAUUAGAGUGUUCAAAGCAGGCCAUCGCUUGAAUACAUAAGCAUGGAAUAAUGGAAUAGGACUUUGGUUCUAUUUUGUUGGUUUCUGGAACCGAAGUAAUGAUUAAGAGGGACAGUUGGGGGCAUUCGUAUUUC